rnacentral:rRNA from 1 species
ACAUAGGUGGCAAGCGUUACUCGGAAUUACUAGGCGUAAAGCGCGUGCAGGCGGAUGCUUAAGUCUGUAGUUUAAUCUCCCGGCUCAACCGGGAAAGGUCUGCGGAUACUGAGCAUCUGGAGUGGGACAGAGGAAGCUGGAAUUCCCGGUGUAGCGGUGAAAUGCGUAGAUAUCGGGAAGAACACCGGCGGCGAAGGCGGGCUUCUGGGUCCUUACUGACGCUGAGACGCGAAAGCUAGGGGAGCAAACAG